rnacentral:rRNA from 1 species
UAGGGAAUAUUGGUCAAUGGGCGAGAGCCUGAACCAGCCAUGCCGCGUGCAGGAAGACGGCCUUCUGGGUUGUAAACUGCUUUUAUCAGGGAACAAAAGGGUACUGCGGUACAGAUUGCGUGUACCUGAUGAAUAAGCACCGGCUAACUCCGUGCCAGCAGCCGCGGUAAUACGGAGGGUGCAAGCGUUGUCCGGAUUUAUUGGGUUUAAAGGGUGCGUAGGCGGCCUGAUCAGUCAGUGGUGAAAUGCUCCGGCUCAACCGGGGAGGUGCCAUUGAUACUGUUAGGCUUGAGUACAGUAGAGGUAGGCGGAAUUUAUGGUGUAGCGGUGAAAUGCAUAGAUACCAUAAAGAACACCGAUAGCUUAGGCAGCUUACUGGACUGAGACUGACGCUGAGGCACGAAAGCGUGGGGAGCGAACGGGAUUAGAUACCCCUGUAGUCC